UUUGCAGUAUAGCUGCUUUACUAUGUGUGUUAAUUUCUGCUGUCCAACAAAGUGAGCCAGCCACACGUGUGCCUACAUCCCCUCGUCCUUGGAUUUCCUUCCCAUUUCGGUCACUGAGGUGCCAGAUCCUGGGGGUGGGUCAGGCCUCCGGGGACCCCCUCAAGUCCUGGAAGAUGACCUUCUCUGCGGGCUGUGGGAGACAGAGAUGAGAGGGUAGACCGCACAGCCCUCCAACUCUGGACGUGGAGGCAGGAUCCUGAGUGCUUAGGAGGAAAUGACAGGCCGCCUCAUUUACAAUGGAAGGAAACUGAGGUACAACAACAAAAUAAUAAAACCUAAUGCGUGCGCGCUGAGCGCUUACAGUAAGCCAGGCACUGUGCUGAGCCCUUUGACCCAAGUUCUUUCAUUUAAUCCUUCCAACAACGGUCACCGUGGGAAGCUGAGCCUGGGACCCCUAUUUUACAAGUGGGGAAAGGAAGACUCGGGAAGGUAAGUCAAGGCCAUACCCUCUGUGAAUGGAGGACCUGAGGUGGGCACACAGAUCUGGCUCCAGAACCCAGAACCAAAAACCUGGGAUGUCUUGGGGGAGGUGAAGGGACGAGAUGAGGGAAGCCUGGCAGGGACGGAAGAUAAGCCCUUGUCUGGGGGCCACGGGCAGCGGAAUAAAUGAUUGCAAGAGUGAGGCACCCCGGAUCAGUUCCACGUCCAUUCUACCCUGGAUGGCCCAGGGCAGUUUGCAGAAGCCCCAGUUUCAGCCCACCCCAGCAACCUAGAAUCUUCUCUGCUUCAUUCAUUCACUCAUUCAUGCAAUCAUUCAAUCAACCGAAGACAAAGUUCUGGAUGACACAAACAUACCCCUGUAAACAAUAAAUGUAAAUGGCUUGAAUGGGUCUAUUAAAGCACAAAGACUCUAGUAUGAGAUCAAAAAUCAAAAUCUCUUCAUUUAUUCGUGGACCUAAUAUUUAUUAGAUGCCUAAAAUAUUCAAGGUCCGGUUUUAGAUUCUAAUGACAGAACCUAAAAAUAAGAUGUCUGCUGGUGGAAAAACACCGGGAAAAGGUGAUCCAGGGAGAGAGACCCAAAGGUGCAAAAAACUGUGAGGCUGCGAUGAGCUGGAGGAGGGAGGAACAGAAGUGGGGGCCCUUGUGGCCGGAGCGCAGCACUGGUGAGCACGGGGAGUGAAGCAGGAGAGGCCUGCCAGGUCGGGAACAGACAGCAGCGGCAGCAAGCAGGGCCCAGACGCAGAGGACCUGGGUCCUUCUCACAGAGAGCUCCCCCCUCUCCCGGCAAGCCCAGCUGGCUUCUCGACUCUUCCCAUCUGGGAGCCCUCCCUGCCCCCCAGACGGGGCCAAGAUGACCGGGCACAGCCCCCUCUCCAGGAGGCGACAUUGUGGAUUGGAGGCCUGUUGGGUACCAGGCUCUACCGUUUGGUGGUUUCCACACUUAAUCAGUUCAUUAAGUCCCACCACCAGGUUCGCAUCCUCCCAUUUUGCGGAAGAGAAAACUGAGCCUCAGAGAGGCUGGGUGGCCUGCCCGAAGCCACACUGCCAGGCAACGGCAGGCCCGAGGCUUGGACUCAGAGCAUCUGACACCACAGGCGCCUCCGGCGAAAGGAAGUGGAGCAGCCUCAGCUGGCUGUGUCCUCACGUGGGUCUCCUGACCUCCUCGACCUCAGCCCUCCAUCUGGGAAACCACGGGCCAGACAGCCAGGGACUUCUCUGGUGGUCCAGUGGUGAAGAAUCCACCUGCCGAUGCAGAGGACACAGGUUUAAUCCCUGCUCCGCGAAGAUUCCACAUGCCUGUGCCUGCGAACCAAAACUACCGAGCCCCUGCACCCUCGAACCCGGGGGCCGCAACCAGAGAAACCACAGAAAUGAGAAGCCCAAGCGCUGCAAGUAGAGAGUAACCCCCGCUCGCCGUAGAGAAAGCCCACACAUCAGUGAAGACCCAGGGUGGCCAAAAAUAAUAAAUACAUUUAAAAAAAUUUUUUUUAAGGCUGUCAGAAUAGUGGCGGAUGGGCCCGGUGGUCAGGGCUGCACCCACCCCUUGGGGGCUUGCAGAGCUCUAACAGGGGGCCGCGGGGGA